GGGGUGAAGAAAAGUUGUCUACAAAGGGGAAUGAAGGAAUUUUUUAGGGCAACAAAACUGUUCUGUAUCUUGAUUGUGGAGGGGGUUACAUGUCUGUAUAUAUCUGCCAAACUCCUAAAACUGUACAUGAAAACGGGUUAAUUUUGCUGAGUGUAAAUUACAUCUCAAUAAAAAAUGUUUUAAAAGAAAAUAAAGAUUUUUAAACUACUGAUUUAAUUGCACACUGGCUAGAGUUUAGUUGCCUUUUCUAUUUCUACUAGUAUGCAUUUAGGCAAUUUAUAUUAUGUUAUAGAAACUCUUUUUAACCUAGGUUUUCAAAUUUUGGCAUAAAGUUGUUCUCAGUUUUUCCUUUUGAUUAAAAACUCUGAGUUCUAUCUGUAGCUAUGUACUUUUCCUUUUAGCUUUUUUUUUUUUUUUUUUUUUUUAGAAAUGUGUAUCUUCUUUAUUUUUAGGCAAUUACUUUGCCUAGAUUUUUACUCAAUUUAGAAAUAUUUUCAAAUAACUGUUUUUAGGCUUUAUGGAUCUUAUUUUUUAAAUUGUUUUUGAUUCAUUAAUUUUGGCUCUUUUCAAUCUUUCUUCUUUUCUAAGGUAUACAUUUAAGGUGAUAAAUUUACCUCUACAUACUGCUUUAUGCUAUAUCUCACAUGUGUUUGACACAUAAUAUAUUUAUUCUCAGUCAGUUCUAAGUAUUCGUUUAAUGCUGAAUGUAUAAUUUAUUCUUUAAUCCAUAAAACAUUUUAAUGUUCAUUUUUAAAUUUCCAAAUCUAUGAUAGGUUUUGGCUGUCUUACAGCUUGUUAAUCAUGCAUUUUAGCUUUCUAUAUCCUCACUUCUUUUUGUCUGCCUGAUCUGCCAGUUCUUGAGAGGUAUAAGUUGAUAGAUUUGUUCAUUUAUCCUUGUAUUCUGCCAACUUAUGCUGUAUAUAUUUUAAGACUAUAAAGUUAGAUACAUACAUAUUUUGAAUUGUUGCAUCUUCCAUUAGGAAGUUUAUUAAACUCUUCCUUUUAUCAACUUUAUAGCUGCUUUUUGCCUGAAAAUAUAUUUGAUUAAUAUUUGCAUAAAUUAGCAUUCUUCUAAAAAAUAUUAGUCUAUCCUUUUAUGACCUUCUAAACUUUUCUAUCCUUAUGUUUAAAGUAUGUUUUAUAAACAGGAGAUAUUUGAAUUUUGUUGUAUACUUUUUUUAUGGUUAAUUUUGAAUAACAUUUUAAUAACACAGUAUUAUUUUCAAAAAGAUUUAGUAGUGGAGUUUAGUGAGAACUCUUCAUGUAAGA
rnacentral:lncRNA from 1 species